rnacentral:lncRNA from 1 species
GGUCUCGAGCUCCUGACCUCAGGCGAUCCGCCCGCCUCGGCCUCCCAAAGCGCUGGGAUUACAGGCGUAAGCCACCGCGCCGGGCUCUUUCAUUCUGUCUUUAUUUUCUGAGAUAGAGUCUCGCUCGGACGCUCAGGUUGGACUGCAACGGCGUGAUCUCGGCUCGCUGAAACUUCCGCCUCCCGGGUUCAAGCGAUUCUCCUGUCUCAGCCUCCCGAGUAGCUGGGAUUAUUGACGGGCAGCACCACGCCCGGCUACUUUUUGUGGUUUUUGUAUCUUCUGUCUUCUGCUCUUUAGUACCGCAUAGAGCCGCAGAAGACUAGCGAGUCGAACAAACGGCCCCUCUUGCAGCAGUUGUUGAUCACGGGGCUGCCCCCCGGUACUCAUCCUGUGUCUCUCGUCCAAAUCCCCGCUCCUCCUCAGCUAUCACCUCUGCCGAUGCUGGUGGUUUCCCUGGGUACCGGGAACCAAAACUCUCAUUCCCCAGGGGCCUA